rnacentral:rRNA from 1 species
CCUACGGGAGGCAGCAGUGGGGAAUAUUGGACAAUGGGGGCAACCCUGAUCCAGCAAUGCCGCGUGUGUGAUGAAGGCCUUAGGGUUGUAAAGCACUUUCACUGGUGAAGAUGAUGACGGUAGCCAGAGAAGAAGCCCCGGCUAACUUCGUGCCAGCAGCCGCGGUAAUACGAAGGGGGCGAGCGUUGUUCGGAAUUACUGGGCGUAAAGGGCGCGUAGGCGGUCCUUUAAGUUAGGCGUGAAAGCCCCGGGCUCAACCUGGGAACUGCGCUUAAGACUGGAGGACUAGAAAACGGAAGAGGGUAGUGGAAUUCCCAGUGUAGAGGUGAAAUUCGUAGAUAUUGGGAAGAACACCAGUGGCGAAAGCGGCUACCUGGUCCGAUUUUGACGCUGAGGCGCGAAAGCGUGGGGAGCAAACAGGAUUAGAUACCCUGGUAGUCCACGCCGUAAACGAUGUCUGCUAGAUGUCGGGGGGUUGCCCCUCGGUGUCGCCGCUAACGCAUUAAGCAGACCGCCUGGGAAGU